CCAUUUCUCCUCUACCUUACUCGAUCUCAUGUUCAUCUUUCAGGGUCUCGUUUAAAACCCUUUAAUCGGUUGGUUCAAGGAUACGACCUCGAGUUGAAGUACAAUUCCAAAUUCAUCAAAGAUAUUUCUUAAGAGAAACGAUGCUGGUGACCAUUUUCCCUCACUUGCAAUCUGCUUAGGCUUUGAACUGUUAAGUACCGUU